GACGAACGCUGGCGGCGUGCCUAAUACAUGCAAGUAGAACGCUGAAGAGAGGAGCUUGCUCUUCUUGGAUGAGUCGCGAACGGGUGAGUAACGCGUAGGUAACCUGCCUGGUAGCGGGGGAUAACUAUUGGAAACGAUAGCUAAUACCGCAUAAAAUGGAUUAUCGCAUGAUAAUCCAUUGAAAGGUGCAAAUGCAUCACUACCAGAUGGACCUGCGUUGUAUUAGCUAGUUGGUGGGGUAACGGCUCACCAAGGCGACGAUACAUAGCCGACCUGAGAGGGUGAUCGGCCACACUGGGACUGAGACACGGCCCAGACUCCUACGGGAGGCAGCAGUAGGGAAUCUUCGGCAAUGGACGGAAGUCUGACCGAGCAACGCCGCGUGAGUGAAGAAGGUUUUCGGAUCGUAAAGCUCUGUUGUAAGAGAAGAACGAGUGUGAGAGUGGAAAGUUCACACUGUGACGGUAUCUUACCAGAAAGGGACGGCUAACUACGUGCCAGCAGCCGCGGUAAUACGUAGGUCCCGAGCGUUGUCCGGAUUUAUUGGGCGUAAAGCGAGCGCAGGCGGUUAGAUAAGUCUGAAGUUAAAGGCUGUGGCUUAACCAUAGUACGCUUUGGAAACUGUUUAACUUGAGUGCAAGAGGGGAGAGUGGAAUUCCAUGUGUAGCGGUGAAAUGCGUAGAUAUAUGGAGGAACACCGGUGGCGAAAGCGGCUCUCUGGCUUGUAACUGACGCUGAGGCUCGAAAGCGUGGGGAGCAAACAGG
rnacentral:rRNA from 1 species